rnacentral:misc_RNA from 1 species
UUUCCGUAGGUGAACCUGCGGUAGGAUCAUUCAAAAUAAGUGUUUUAUGGCACUUUUUCAAUCCAUAUCCACCUUGUGUGCAAUGUUGUCUUGUAGUGCGAAUGCUUGUCAUUUGCGCUACAGGAUGUAAACAUCAACUUUUAUCUUUAACAACUUUGUCUAAAACCUGUAUGAAUACUUAAUUCAAAUACAACUUUCAACAACGGAUCUCUUGGCUCUC